UUGAUUCUCCCCAAGUUUAGUAUCGUCUUUGGUCAUAUGCGCUAAUAGAGUAAACAAAAUACGCAAGAAAGUGCGUUUUGUUUUACUAUUACUCAAGAACAUGUACUACGAUGAAGUAUCAUUUUUACAUAGCGUAUCACGAAGACUGUCUUAAAGCAAUGAACCAGAGUAGAUUUUUUACGGAUAAAAUUAGCACGUCUCUGCAAUUCAUACAAAAAUUAUAAGUUCUUGAAAUACUUUGAGAAUGAUGAAGUGACGAAUAAGUUAGUCGCAUGUUCACUAGCUUCCAAAACAAAGUACAAUCACGCGCAAAUCUGCUUAGACAGCAAGCAAGCACGAAACCUCGCAGAUAAAGUGUGUCGUGGGACAUAUCAAGGAUUUGCUGCCGCUUUUUCUCAGUCUUGAUUAAAGCGAGAUUGGAGUAAAACAGCCUCACUCAACAAGUAUGUUUUGAAAAACACAAUAAACCUUAAAAUAAUUGA